rnacentral:lncRNA from 1 species
GUCCCACGGCCGAAUCCUGACGGACGGGAUCGGGGAUCGGUCCCACAGCCGCAUCCUGAGGGACGGGAUCGGGGAUCGGUCCCACAGCCGCAUCCUGACGGACGGGAUCGGGGAUCGGUCCCACAGCCGCAUCCUGAGGGACGGGAUCGGGGAUCGGUCCCACAGCCGCGUCCUGAGGGACGGGAUCGGGGAUCGGUCCCACAGCCGCGUCCUGAGGGACGGGAUCGGGGAUUGAUCCCACAGCCGCAUCCUGAGGGACGGGAUCGGUCCUAACGGGCACAUCCUGAGGGACCGGGACAGGAAACUUCACGACUCUCUAAGCAGCUGUUCCAGUGCUCUCCCACCAUCCAUGGAAAGUUCUUUGGGAAGUGAUGGGACCUGGACAGGUGUUCCUCAAAAGCACGAGCAGGGAAAGGGAAAAACGGGACAGUCUCCCUGUCGUGGUGCGAGCCCUUGAAAGUGGAACCCACUUGCGGGCAGAAUGUGAGAGGUUGGCACUGUCAGCAGUUCUGAUGUCUCCCGUGCUGGAAACACACACAGAGCACAGCUGCGGAAUGGAGGGGUUGGCUCAGGUUUUAGCUGAUGUUGGAAGCCUCAUGCUGCAUUUUUAAUUACUGAAGGUAUGAAGUCACUGUUUACCAGCUUAUUAUGGACUCCCUUAUUCAUCCCAGAAAUGGAACCAAGGCAUUACUCACAGGAAGGGCUCUGGUGCUUGUAGGGAAUCCCAACAGCGGGAUCACUUUACACUUACACAUUAUUGAGAAUGGGGUUUUUUGUCCCUCUGUCAACAGAACUUCCCCACAGCAAGCAGAUUUGUCAGCAUGGAGUGGAAUUCCUCCCUCCUAAAUCCCAGGUUCCUGCUUGUCUGCUGGGGCUGGGAUGUGGCCUUGCACACAUCCAGAGGCUUGCUCUUCUUAGAUCCAGCUUUGCUCAGAUUUUAUCCAUAUUUUUGUUGUAAAGAAAAUGUUUCCUUACAAUAUAAAAUCAAUAUAAUAUAAUAUAAUAUAAUAUAAUAUAAUAUAAUAUAAUAUAAUAUAAUAUAAUAUAAUAUAAUAUAAUAUAAUAUAAUAUAAUAUAAUAUAAUAUAAUAUAAUAUAAUAUAAUAUAAUAUAAUAUAAUAUAAUAUAAUAUAAAUAUGAUAUAAUAUAAUAUAAUAUAAUAUAUCAUAUCAUAUCAUAUCAUAUCAUAUCAUAUAUAUUAAAUAAUAUAAUCCUUAAAAUAUAAAAUCAUCGGUGGCCUUCAGCACA